UCUCCGUUGGUGAACCAGCGGAGGGAUCAUUACCGAGUUUACAACUCCCAAACCCCUGUGAACAUACCAAUUGUUGCCUCGGCGGAUCAGCCCGCUCCCGGUAAAACGGGACGGCCCGCCAGAGGACCCUUAAACUCUGUUUCUAUAUGUAACUUCUGAGUAAAAUCAUAAAUAAAUCAAAACUUUCAACAACGGAUCUCUUGGUUCUGGCAUCGAUGAAGAACGCAGCAAAAUGCGAUAAGUAAUGUGAAUUGCAGAAUUCAGUGAAUCAUCGAAUCUUUGAACGCACAUUGCGCCCGCCAGUAUUCUGGCGGGCAUGCCUGUUCGAGCGUCAUUUCAACCCUCAAGCCCAGCUUGGUGUUGGGACUCGCGAGUUAAACCGCGUUCCCCAAAUUGAUUGGCGGUCACGUCGAGCUUCCAUAGCGUAGUAGUAAAACCCUCGUUACUGGUAAUCGUCGCGGCCACGCCGUUAAACCCCAACUUCUGAAUGUUGACCUCGGAUCAGGUAGGAAUACCCGCUGAACUUAA
rnacentral:rRNA from 1 species